CCCCGGUAAACGGCGGCCGUAACUAUAACGGUCCUAAGGUAGCGAAAUUCCUUGUCGGGUAAGUUCCGACCUGCACGAAUGGCGUAAUGAUGGCCAGGCUGUCUCCACCCGAGACUCAGUGAAAUUGAACUCGCUGUGAAGAUGCAGUGUACCCGCGGCAAGACGGAAAGACCCCGUGAACCUUUACUAUAGCUUGACACUGAACAUUGAGCCUUGAUGUGUAGGAUAGGUGGGAGGCUUUGAAGUGUGGACGCCAGUCUGCAUGGAGCCGACCUUGAAAUACCACCCUUUAAUGUUUGAUGUUCUAACGUGGACCCGUAAUCCGGGUUGCGGACAGUGUCUGGUGGGUAGUUUGACUGGGGCGGUCUCCUCCUAAAGAGUAACGGAGGAGCACGAAGGUUGGCUAAUCCUGGUCGGACAUCAGGAGGUUAGUGCAAUGGCAUAAGCCAGCUUGACUGCGAGCGUGACGGCGCGAGCAGGUGCGAAAGCAGGUCAUAGUGAUCCGGUGGUUCUGAAUGGAAGGGCCAUCGCUCAACGGAUAAAAGGUACUCCGGGGAUAACAGGCUGAUACCGCCCAAGAGUUCAUAUCGACGGCGGUGUUUGGCACCUCGAUGUCGGCUCAUCACAUCCUGGGGCUGAAGUAGGUCCCAAGGGUAUGGCUGUUCGCCAUUUAAAGUGGUACGCGAGCUGGGUUUAGAACGUCGUGAGACAGUUCGGUCCCUAUCUGCCGUGGGCGCUGGAGAACUGAGGGGGGCUGCUCCUAGUACGAGAGGACCGGAGUGGACGCAUCACUGGUGUUCGGGUUGUCAUGCCAAUGGCACUGCCCGGUAGCUAAAUGCGGAAGAGAUAAGUGCUGAAAGCAUCUAAGCACGAAACUUGCCCCGAGAUGAGUUCUCCCUGAGACUUAGAGU
rnacentral:rRNA from 4 species